rnacentral:miRNA from 1 species
AGAGGACCCGUAGCUGCUAGAAGG